rnacentral:tRNA from 1 species
GCCUGGGUGGCUCAGUCGGUUGAGCGUCCGACUUCGGCUCAGGUCAUGAUCUCACGGUCUGUGGGUUCAAGCCCCGCGUCGGGCU